rnacentral:rRNA from 1 species
CCCUUAGAUGUCCUGGGCCGCACGCGCGUUACACUGAUGCAUUCAACGAGCUUAUAACCUUGGCCGAGAGGCCUGGGCAAUCUUGUUAACGUGCAUCGUGAUAGGGAUAGAUUAUUGAAAUUAUUAAUCUUGAACGAGGAAUUCCUAGUAAACGCAGAUCAUCAAUCUGCAUUGAUUACGUCCCUGCCCUUUGUACACACCGCCCGUCGCACCUACCGAUUGGAUGGUCCGGUGAGCUCUUCGGACUGCGCGGUCUGCAGUUUCUGCGUUCCGUGCGGAAAGUUGUGCAAACCUUAACAUUUAGAGGAAGGAGAAGUCGUAACA